AUUACCACGUGCUAUGGGAGGGACCCAGUGAAAGAAGAUUGAAUCAUGGGGUGGGGCUUUCCUGUGCUAUUCUCAUGAUAGUGAAUGGGAAGAUCUGAUAAUGUUAUAAACAGGAGUUUCUCUGCACAAGCUCUCUUUUUGCCUGCUGCCUUCCAUGUAAAAUGGGACUUGCUCCUCCUUGUCUUCCACCAUGAUUGUGCAGCCUCCCCAGCCAUGUGAAACUGUACAAAUACAGUCAGUUCAGAGUUGACACUCACUUUCAAGGAUGUUUUGUCCUGGCUGAUUCCGAUGGCGUGUGAAUUGCUGGUCUGGAUCCCGGGAUUCAUGACUACAACCCCAAAAUACGGCACUUCUGCCUGUGUGGAAACAACAGAAGCAGGAAGAUUACUCUCAUUUUUCUCUGGCCUUUUUCCCUUGAAGCAGACUAUAAAGAAGAAUCUGACCUUCCUCUGAAGGAAACCUUCAUUCCAGACAUACCCUCCCUAUAUCCAAAGAACAUCUUUAUCUUUAAAGACACAGAGAUGUCAAGAAGAAUCUGAACAAACAGGCUUUGCCAGAUCCCCCAGUUUACUAAUAUUGAACCAUACUCUUUUGUUCUUCAAUCAUACUUCUGCAUGAUGUCCAUAAAAAUACACAGUUUUCCCCAUUCCUUUUGGGUAUUUAUUCCCGAAAGCUUCUGUGUCAUGUAAAACUUACAUUAAAUAAAUUUGUAUGCUUUU
rnacentral:lncRNA from 10 species